AUUGUACGCUGGCGGCAGGCCUAACACAUGCAAGUCGAACGAGUGGCGGACGGGUGAGUAAUGGCUGGGAAACUGCCUGAUGGAGGGGGAUAACGACUGGGAACGGUAGCUAAUACAGCAUACCAUCGGAUGUGCCCAGAUGGGAGUAGCUAGUAGGUGGGGUAACGGCUCAACUAGGCGACGAACCCUAGCUGGUCUGCGAGGAUGACCAGCCACACAGGAACUGAGCAACGGUCCAGACUCCUACGGGAGGCAGCAGUGGGGCAUAUUGCACAAUGGGCGCAAGCCUGAUGCAGCCAUGCCGCGUGUAUGAAGAGGGCCUUCGGGUUGUCAAGUACUUUCAGCGGGGAGGCGUUACCCGCAGAAGAAGCACCGGCUAACUCCGUGCCAGCAGCCGCGGUAAUAC
rnacentral:rRNA from 1 species